GAUGAACGCUAGCGGCAGGCUUAAUACAUGCAAGUCGAGGGACAGCACAGGUAGCAAUACUGGGUGGUAACCGGCAAACGGGUGCGGAACACGUACACAACCUUCCUUUAAGUGGGGGAUAGCCCAGAGAAAUUUGGAUUAAUACCCCGUAAUAUAGUUGAAUGGCAUCAUUUGAUUAUUAUAGCUACGGCGCUUAAUGAUGGGUGUUCGGCUGAUUAGAUAGUUGGCGGGGUAACGGCCCACCAAGUCUACGAUCAGUAGCUGAUGUGAGAGCAUGAGCAGCCACACGGGCACUGAGACACGGGCCCGACGCGUACGGGAGGCAGCAGCAAGGAAUAUUGGACAAUGGACGCAAGUCUGAACCAGCCAUGCCGCGUGAAGGAUUAAGGUCCUCUGGAUUGUAAACUUCUUUUAUGUGGGACGAAAAAGGGCCUUUCUAGGUCAACUGACGGUACCAGAUGAAUAAGCACCGGCUAACUCCGUGCCAGCCGCCGCGGUAACAC
rnacentral:rRNA from 1 species